UGGGGAAUAUUGCACAAUGGAGGGAACUCUGAUGCAGCGACGCCGCGUGAACGAAGAAGGCUUUCGAGUCGUAAAGUUCUUUUAUAUGGGAAGAUAAUGACAGUACCAUAAGAAAAAGCCCCGGCUAACUACGUGCCAGCAGCCGCGGUAACACGUAGGGGGCUAGCGUUGUCCGGAAUCACUGGGCGUAAAGGGUUCGCAGGCGGAAAUGCAAGUCAGGUGUAAAAGGCAGUAGCUUAACUACUGUAAGCAUUUGAAACUGCAUAUCUUGAGAAGAGUAGAGGUAAGUGGAAUUUUUAGUGUAGCGGUGAAAUGCGUAGAUAUUAAAAAGAAUACCGGUGGCGAAGGCGACUUACUGGGCUCAUUCUGACGCUGAGGAACGAAAGCGUGGGUAGCAAACAGG
rnacentral:rRNA from 1 species